GAUGAAGAACGCAGCGAAAUGCGAUAAUUAAUGUGAAUUGCAGAAUUCCGUGAAUCAUUGAGUCUUUGAACGCACAUUGCGCUCCCUGGUAUUCCGGGGAGCAUGCCUGUUCGAGCGUCAUUACAACCCUCAAGCUCUGCUUGGUGUUGGGCCCCGCCGCCCCGGCGGGCCCUAAAGUCAGUGGCGGUGCCGUCCGGCUCCGAGCGUAGUAAUUUUUCUCGCUUUGGAGGCCCGGGCGCGUGCUUGCCAUCAACCCCCAAUUUUUUUCAGGUUGACCUCGGAUCAGGUAGGGAUACCCGCUGAACUUAAGCAUAUCAAUAAGCGGAGGA
rnacentral:misc_RNA from 1 species